rnacentral:rRNA from 1 species
UACGGAGGGAGCUAGCGUUGUUCGGAAUUACUGGGCGUAAAGCGCACGUAGGCGGCUUUGUAAGUCAGAGGUGAAAGCCUGGAGCUCAACUCCAGAACUGCCUUUGAGACUGCAUCGCUCGAAUCCGGGAGAGGUGAGUGGAAUUCCGAGUGUAGAGGUGAAAUUCGUAGAUAUUCGGAAGAACACCAGUGGCGAAGGCGGCUCACUGGACGACUGUUGACGCUGAGGUGCGAAAGCGUGGGGAGCAAACAGG